rnacentral:misc_RNA from 1 species
CGCAUCUUGCGCCCUUUGGUAUUCCGAAGGGCAUGCCUGUUUGAGUGUCAUUAAAUUCUCAAAACCCCUCGGUUUCGACUUGAGGGAUUUUGGACUGUGAGGGUUGCCGGUCCCUUUGCUGGAUUGGACUCCCUUUAAAUACAUUAGUGGUUACCGAUCCGCUUCCACUUGGUGUGAUAGUAUAUCUACGCCUUUGGAAUGAUCAGUUGCUAUCCGCUUCUAACACGUCUGGACCUAGCUUCAGACAGCUUUCUUGACAAUUUGACCUCAAAUCAGGUAGGACUACCCGCUGAACUUAA